UACGGAGGGGGCUAGCGUUGCUCGGAAUCACUGGGCGUAAAGGGUGCGUAGGCGGGUUUUUAAGUCAGAGGUGAAAUCCUGGAGCUCAACUCCAGAACUGCCUUUGAUACUGAAAGUCUUGAGUAUGGGAGAGGUGAGUGGAACUGCGAGUGUAGAGGUGAAAUUCGUAGAUAUUCGCAAGAACACCAGUGGCGAAGGCGGCUGACUGGACAUGUAUUGACGCUGAGGUGCGAAAGCGUGGGGAGCAACAGG
rnacentral:rRNA from 1 species